CCUUGAGCUCACUUUGUAGCCCAGGCUGGUCUUGAACUCACAAAGAUCCUCCUGCCUCAGCCUCCUGAGUCCUGGGAU
rnacentral:miRNA from 1 species